rnacentral:lncRNA from 1 species
CCAUUUAGGCCUUCAUGUGGGGCUCCUAAGAACACACCCAUUUACCAUCUGUUCAGCUAGCUAUCAUGCAUUGCUCCUCCAUUUUGCCAGGUCCCGUUUUUUCUCUCAAGUCACAACCCUAAUAUACAGAGGACGAUCAUUUUAUGAAGCCUCACGCCUCGGUCAUAACUGAUAUGUCUUAAAAAAAAAAGGUAGCUAGCUGUUAUUGAUAAUUGAUAGUUAACCCACUUUGUUGGGCCAUGAAAUGGUAUAAAUGUCAACUGAAAUCACAUGCAUAAAAGCAUGCAAAGAUUUUUAAUGUCCUCUCGAAGGGCGCAUUGGAUUCCUCUCUGGAUAGAGAGAGAUUGGAUGAUAAUUAACACAAAGGGAUGAGGAGGCUGUUGUUUUGUCCCCAAGUCCAUUUUUGGUCCAGUCAUUGUUUCUUAUAUAUCGAUGGCAUUUUCUUACAGUCUUUUAAGAUUUACUUCAUUUGUAUAGUUGUCUCCCUACUUCAAGAGAUCCCUUCUACUGAAGAAACAUUUGGUUAAAUUUCGAGUGAAAAUCUGAAGAAGUCUGUCAUCCAAGUGAGAAAGAAAGAAUCACUGAUCAUGAAGGGCAGAGAGUUCCAGAUAAUCAAAAACUCAAGGGAACAGUACUGAGUAUAUAUUCCCUCUCCCUCUCCCUCUCCCUCUCAUAUGAUGGAGUAAUUGAGGAACUACAGAGGCACGUGAUGCCCAUUUAGUGAGGGAAGAGAACACAAUCAUUCUGGCUUCCCCUUUUCUUGUGUGUGCAAGCUCGUGGAAUUAUUGUAUUUGGUGUGAAAUGCAAUUAGUACUUUCUUAAUUUGUUUCUUUGUGGUUGGUUGAUUACCAUGAAAAGAAUUUAGUGAGGAAACUUCCUCUGAUUAGGAGGAGACAUCUAACAAAUCUUGACAUUAUUAAACUGCUUGAACUUGAGAAUAUAGCCAGUGCCAUGCCCUAGUCAUUUCUUGUGUGAUAAAAGAGAGUACAUGAAGUUAAUUUUAAGCUAACAAAAUUAGAAACCCUAG